rnacentral:rRNA from 1 species
AGUGAACGCUGGCGGUAGGCCUAACACAUGCAAGUCGAACGGCAGCACAGUAAGAGCUUGCUCUUACGGGUGGCGAGUGGCGGACGGGUGGGGAAUACAUCGGAAUCUACUUUUUCGUGGGGGAUAACGAAGGGAAACUUACGCUAAUACCGCAUACGACCUACGGGUGAAAGCAGGGGAGCUUCGGACCUUGCGCGUUUGAUUGAGCCGAUGUCGGAUUAGCUAGUUGGCGGGGUAAAGGCCCACCAAGGCGACGAUCCGUAGCUGGUCUGAGAGGAUGAUCAGCCACACUGGAACUGAGACACGGUCCAGACUCCUACGGGAGGCAGCAGUGGGGAAUAUUGGACAAUGGGCGCAAGCCUGAUCCAGCCAUACCGCGUGGGUGAAGAAGGCCUUCGGGUUGUAAAGCCCUUUUGUUGGGAAAGAAAAGCAGCAGGUUAAUACCCCGCUGUUCUGACGGUACCCAAAGAAUAAGCACCGGCUAACUUCGUG